UUAUAAGGAAGGCGCGUCGGUCCUCCAUUUCAGCCUUUCUCUCCAGAAGAACGCUGGCAGUGGCAUUUCUCAUCUUGUAAACACUGGAUUCUAUGGGACAU
rnacentral:lncRNA from 1 species